rnacentral:rRNA from 1 species
AACGAACGCUGGCGGCAGGCCUAACACAUGCAAGUCGAACGGGAUCUUCGGAUCUAGUGGCGGACGGGUGAGUAACGCGUGGGAACGUGCCCUUUGGUUCGGAAUAGCCCCGGGAAACUGGGAGUAAUACCGGAUAAGCCCUACGGGGGAAAGAUUUAUCGCCAAAGGAUCGGCCCGCGUUGGAUCAGGUAGUUGGUGAGGUAAUGGCUCACCAAGCCGACGAUCCAUAGCUGGUUUGAGAGGAUGAUCAGCCACACUGGGACUGAGACACGGCCCAGACUCCUACGGGAGGCAGCAGUGGGGAAUCUUAGACAAUGGGGGAAACCCUGAUCUAGCCAUGUCGCGUGAUCGAUGAAGGCCUUAGGGUUGUAAAGAUCUUUCAGUGGGGAAGAUAAUGACUGUACCCACAGAAGAAGCCCCGGCUAACUCCGUGCCAGCCGCCGCAGUAA